GCAAGUCUGAAUGCACUUUCUCAUUUUUCUCAUAUUUUCACAUUUAUCUCUCCUUCAUUCAGAAGCAUUUGUCAAUCUGCCUCUAUCCAUGGCAGCCCUUCUUAUUUUAAUGUUCUCACUCUUACCCACAAACUAAAUUUACAUUUCUUGCUGUUAUAAAUUUUAUAUUUUUGUGUGUGGAGAAACAUUCCAUCAAGAAGACUGAAGCCCAGUAAACUCCCAAAGACAAGACUUUCAGAAGGUCUGAAGACAAGUCACAUCAAACCACUGACCUAAGAAAAAUGGAAUUAAUGUUGCAACUGCAUUCUCCUAACUUCUCACUGGACUUGAGAUGGCAGGUAUGGUCAAGAGAGACACUGGAAGAUGGAAGUUACUUCAGUGUUCCAGUUGCUGGUGUAGCCAGGGCUUCACAGCGUGGAAGUAUGGCAUCAUGAUGUCUACUGCACAUCUAUUCCCAACCCCAUAUUCAGUUGUUUCAUGUAGUCUCUUGAAAUCUAUGGAAACUAGAAAACACUACAAAUAAAGCCUUGAUUUAUUGUUUUGUUGAUUGUCUUGACUUAAGAAACUGAUAGACAAUGUGUUAUUAAUGCAGAUUAAACUUAAAAAUGUUUACCUCAGUGGCCGUUAUACUGUGAAUACCACAAAAACUGAGCAAAUAUUUUUCUAGUAUUUGAAAAGUAUUAUCCAAUUCAG
rnacentral:lncRNA from 1 species